rnacentral:rRNA from 1 species
UACGUAGGGGGCAAGCGUUGUCCGGAUUUAUUGGGCGUAAAGAGCGUGUAGGCGGCCUGAAAGGUCAGCUGUGAAACUCGAGGCUCAACCUCGAGACGUCGGUUGAAACCAUCUGGCUAGAGUCCGGAAGAGGAGUGUGGAAUUCCCGGUGUAGCGGUGAAAGUGCGCAGAUAUCGGGAAGAACACCCGUGGCGAAGGCGGCACUCUGGGACGGUACUGACGCUGAGACGCGAAAGCGUGGGGAGCGAACGAGG